GAUCAACGCUGGCGGCGUGCAUAACACAUGCAAGUCGAACGAUGAAGAUUAAACGAUUUCUUCGGAAUGAACUUAAUUGGAUUAGUGGCGGACGGGUGAGUAACGCGUGAGUAACCUGCCUUGUACAAGGGGAUAGCCGUUGGAAACGACGAAUAAUACCCUAUGACAUCAAAUAAUCGCAUGAUAAUUUGAUCAAAGAUUUAUCGGUAUAAGAUGGACUCGCGUCUGAUUAGCUAGUUGGUAGAGUAAAAGCCUACCAAGGCAACGAUCAGUAGCCGGCUUGAGAGAGGGUACGGGCACAUUGGGACUGGGACAAGGCCCAGACUCCUCCAGGAGGCAGCAGUGGGGAAAUUUGCACAAUGGGGGAAACCCUGAUGCAGCGACGCCGCGUGAUUUAGAAGGCCUUCGGGUUGUAAAAAUCUUUUGUAUGGGAAGAAAAUGACAGUACCAUACGAAUAAGGACCGGCUAAUUACGUG
rnacentral:rRNA from 1 species